GUGGGGAAUAUUGGACAAUGGGCGAAAGCCUGAUCCAGCAAUGCCGCGUGAGUGAUGAAGGCCUUAGGGUUGUAAAGCUCUUUUACCAGGGAUGAUAAUGACAGUACCUGGAGAAUAAGCUCCGGCUAACUCCGUGCCAGCAGCCGCGGUAAUACGGAGGGAGCUAGCGUUGUUCGGAAUUACUGGGCGUAAAGCGCACGUAGGCGGUUACUCAAGUCAGAGGUGAAAGCCCGGGGCUCAACCCCGGAACUGCCUUUGAAACUAGGUAACUAGAAUCUUGGAGAGGUCAGUGGAAUUCCGAGUGUAGAGGUGAAAUUCGUAGAUAUUCGGAAGAACACCAGUGGCGAAGGCGACUCACUGGCCCAAUACUGACGCUGAGGCGCGAAAGCGUGGGGAGCAAACAGGAUUAGAAACCCCGGUAGUCC
rnacentral:rRNA from 1 species